rnacentral:rRNA from 1 species
CGUGGGUAACCUGCCCAAGAGACUGGGAUAACACCUGGAAACAGAUGCUAAUACCGGAUAACAACACUAGACGCAUGUCUAGAGUUUAAAAGAUGGUUCUGCUAUCACUCUUGGAUGGACCUGCGGUGCAUUAGCUAGUUGGUAAGGUAACGGCUUACCAAGGCAAUGAUGCAUAGCCGAGUUGAGAGACUGAUCGGCCACAUUGGGACUGAGACACGGUCCAAACUCCUACGGGAGGCAGCAGGG